rnacentral:rRNA from 1 species
GACGAACGCUGGCGGCAGGCUUAACACAUGCAAGUCGAGCGGACCUUCCGGGGUCAGCGGCGGUCGGGUGAGUAACGCGUGGUAAUAUGCCCUUCUCUACGGUAUAGUCCUGUGAAACUGGGGUUAAUGCCGUAUACGCCCUUUGGGGGUAAGAUUUAUUGGGGCAGGAUUGGCCCGCGUUUGAUUCGGUAGUUGGUGGGGGAAUGGCAUACCAAGCCGAGGAUCCAUAGCUGGUUGGUGAGGAUGAUAAACCAGACUUGGACUGAGACACGGCCCAGACUGCGACGCGACGGAGCAGUGUGGAAUCCUAGAGAAGGGGGGCUAACCCGAUCAAGCCACGCGGGGGGAGUGAUGCAGGCGUUAGGAUUGUAAUGCUCUUUCAGCUGAGAAGAUAGUGACGGUAACAGCAGAAGAAGCCCCGGCUAACUCCGUG